rnacentral:rRNA from 1 species
GACGAACGCUGGCGGCGUGCCUAACACAUGCAAGUCGAACGAAGUAUAGUAAUAUACUUAGUGGCGGACGGGUGAGUAACGCGUGAACAAUCUGCCCUGUACAAAGGAAUAGCCUCGGGAAACCGGGAUUAAAACCAUAUGACACUUUAGUACCGCAUGGUAUAGAAGUCAAAUUGAUUUAGAGGUAUGGGAUGAGUUCGCGUCUGAUUAGCUAGUUGGUAAGGUAAUGGCUUACCAAGGCGACGAUCAGUAGCCGGCCUGAGAGGGUGAACGGCCACACUGGAACUGAGACACGGUCCAGACUCCUACGGGAGGCAGCAGUGGGGAAUAUUGCACAAUGGAGGAAACUCUGAUGCAGCGACGCCGCGUGAGUGAAGAAGGUCUUCGGAUCGUAAAACUCUGUCCUUGGUGAAGAAAAAGACGGUAGCCAAGGAGGAAGCCCCGGCUAACUACGUGCCAGCAGCCGCCGUAACAC